GGAAUUAAAAGUCGUAACAAGGUUUCCGUAGGUGAACCUGCGGAAGGAUCAUUAGUGAAAUAACCUGGGACUUUAAGUCUCGGACCUUCUCACAUCCAUACACCUUUGUGCACUGUUGGACAGACCGUUGAAUAUUUUUUUCAAGGUUUGUCCUAUAAUUUAAUAAACAUUUUUAUAAGUAAGGAAAGUAUCAUUCAAUGCUCUGGUAGCGCUGAAAUAAAAUAAUAAAAAACAAAACUUUCAACAACGGAUCUCUUGGCUCUC
rnacentral:misc_RNA from 1 species